UGAACGCUGGCGGCAGGCCUAACACAUGCAAGUCGAACGGUAACAGGAAGCAGCUUGCUGCUUCGCUGACGAGUGGCGGACGGGUGAGUAAUGUCUGGGAAACUGCCUGAUGGAGGGGGAUAACUACUGGAAACGGUAGCUAAUACCGCAUAACGUCGCAAGACCAAAGAGGGGGACCUUCGGGCCUCUUGCCAUCGGAUGUGCCCAGAUGGGAUUAGCUAGUAGGUGGGGUAACGGCUCACCUAGGCGACGAUCCCUAGCUGGUCUGAGAGGAUGACCAGCCACACUGGAACUGAGACACGGUCCAGACUCCUACGGGAGGCAGCAGUGGGGAAUAUUGCACAAUGGGCGCAAGCCUGAUGCAGCCAUGCCGCGUGUAUGAAGAAGGCCUUCGGGUUGUAAAGUACUUUCAGCGGGGAGGAAGGCGAUAAGGUUAAUAACCUUGUCGAUUGACGUUACCCGCAGAAGAAGCACCGGCUAACUCCGUGCCAGCAGCCGCGGUAAUACGGAGGGUGCAAAGCGUUAAUCGGAAUUACUGGGCGUAAAGCGCACGCCAGGCGGUCUGUCAAGUCGGAUGUGAAAUCCCCGGGCUCAACCUGGGAACUGCAUUCGAAACUGGCAGGCUAGAGUCUUGUAGAGGGGGGUAGAAUUCCAGGUGUAGCGGUGAAAUGCGUAGAGAUCUGGAGGAAUACCGGUGGCGAAGGCGGCCCCCUGGACAAAGACUGACGCUCAGGUGCGAAAGCGUGGGGAGCAAACAGGAUUAGAUACCCUGGUAGUCCACGCCGUAAACGAUGUCGACUUGGAGGUUGUGCCCUUGAGGCGUGGCUUCCGGAGCUAACGCGUUAAGUCGACCGCCUGGGGAGUACGGCCGCAAGGUUAAAACUCAAAUGAAUUGACGGGGGCCCGCACAAGCGGUGGAGCAUGUGGUUUAAUUCGAUGCAACGCGAAGAACCUUACCUACUCUUGACAUCCAGAGAACUUUCCAGAGAUGGAUUGGUGCCUUCGGGAACUCUGAGACAGGUGCUGCAUGGCUGUCGUCAGCUCGUGUUGUGAAAUGUUGGGUUAAGUCCCGCAACGAGCGCAACCCUUAUCCUUUGUUGCCAGCGGUUAGGCCGGGAACUCAAAGGAGACUGCCAGUGAUAAACUGGAGGAAGGUGGGGAUGACGUCAAGUCAUCAUGGCCCUUACGAGUAGGGCUACACACGUGCUACAAUGGCGCAUACAAAGAGAAGCGACCUCGCGAGAGCAAGCGGACCUCAUAAAGUGCGUCGUAGUCCGGAUUGGAGUCUGCAACUCGACUCCAUGAAGUCGGAAUCGCUAGUAAUCGUGGAUCAGAAUGCCACGGUGAAUACGUUCCCGGGCCUUGUACACACCGCC
rnacentral:rRNA from 1 species